rnacentral:rRNA from 1 species
UACAGAGGGUGCGAGCGUUGUUCGGAAUUAUUGGGCGUAAAGGGCUCGUAGGCGGCCAACUAAGUCAUACGUGAAAUCCCUCGGCUUAACCGGGGAACUGCGUCUGAUACUGGAUGGCUUGAGUUCGGGAGAGGGAUGCGGAAUUCCAGGUGUAGCGGUGAAAUGCGUAGAUAUCUGGAGGAACACCGGUGGCGAAGGCGGCAUCCUGGACCGAUAUUGACGCUGAUGCGCGAAAGCCAGGGGAGCAAAGCGGG